GCGCACCAGUCGAGAAUCUUCCACAAUGGACGAAAGUCUGAUGGAGCGACGCCGCGUGCGGGAUGAAGGCCUUAUGGGUUGUAAACCGCUGUCAGGGGGAAGAACAUCGGAAUGAACAAUACUCAUUCCGACUGACGUUACCCCAGAGGAAGCUCCGGCCAACUCCGUGCCAGCAGCCGCGGUAAUACGGGGGGAGCAAGCGUUGUCCGGAAUUAUUGGGCGUAAAGGGCGUGUAGGCGGCGAGGUAAG
rnacentral:rRNA from 1 species